UCCGGUUUGACACCGGCAGUCUCCCUAGAGUGCCCGGCAUAACCCGCUGGUAACUAGGGACGAGGGUUGCGCUCGUUGCGGGACUUGACCCAACAUCUCACGACACGAGCUGACGACAGCCAUGCAGCACCUGUGUUACGGCUCCCUUUCGGGCACCCCUGCAUUUCUGCAGGGUUCCGCACAUGUCAAGGGUAGGUAAGGUUUUUCGCGUUGCAUCGAAUUAAACCACAUCAUCCACCGCUUGUGCGGGCCCCCGUCAAUUUCUUUGAGUUUUAAUCUUGCGACCGUACUCCCCAGGCGGGAUACUUAACGCGUUAGCUUCGUCACUGAAGGGGUCAAUACCUCCAACAACAAGUAUCCAUCGUUUAUGGUGCGGACUAC
rnacentral:misc_RNA from 1 species